GACUACUUAGCCUGUUGGUAAAAUUGAUGUUUAAUAUUGUUUUCUUUGUGUAGGAAACAGUACAAGGAGUUUAUUUUAUUUUUACUUCAUUUUCAGAAUAAAAGCUCCUGUGAAGAAGUCUGCGAACCCAAUCGCAAGUAAGGCCCCCGCGACAUGAGAAGCUGCUAUGAAGUGGAAAAGGGUGUCUUCCGGCCUGAGGGAAGAAG